ACUGUGAUCUAAGGCAGAGUCCAAACAGAAUGAGUUUUAACUGUAGGGAGACUUGCAGAUGAACAGAGUGACAAAGCUACAAUCUGUAGUUGCAGACAAAGUGGUGACUUGAAUACAGGUACAGGUACGCAGGCACAGUAAGCUGCAAGCUUGCAACUACAGGAUAUGCUUAUAUGUGGAUUGUUCCGACUACAGGAAACAAACAGAUGUUAGAGCAGGCGAGGAAUAGAGGAAAUGCAGGAAUGCUUGUGCUUGGGGAUUAUCACUGACACCCAGUGUAAAAGUGCUCAAAACCAGGACUUGAUAUGCUUAACUUGACAAGAUGUGCACUCAGGAACUUGCUGGAGCUGGAUCCAAUGUGAAGGUAACUCAAGAGACAACAAUGCCAAUUUCGACUCCAGAGAGCACUCAACAGAGCCUGCCAUCGUUGCAGAUGAUUUUUGAGGAUGAUCGUGACAUGGAGUCACCUAUGCCCAGUGAAGAACCAGCCCAAGCCACCGUAGAUGUGCCAGAAGAGCCACAGACAUCAGGAGCAGAGUCUUAGGCAGAGUCCCAGGCCGAGAGGCUGGUGUUAUGUAAUAAUAUUUACAAUGUUCUGAAAUGGACAAAGAAAAAUAUGAAGAUGGAGCUUGCUACAAGAGUCAUGACAUAUAUACUUUGUGAGCAGCUUCGUGAAAUAUAUCCAGCAAUGCAGGCCCAAGAAGAUGCUUGGAUGCAUCGAUUUUAUGAAAAUGACAGAGGUUUGAAAAACUCUUUCACCAACCAAGCAUACAGGACAGGGUCAGUCGGGAUCAUGAAAGGGUCUUUCGUGACAUUUGUGAAUUUCUGGGCCAACUUUUUUCUCGGUUGCAAACCCAACAAUUUAAAGCCCCACACCACAGCUGGCAGCACAGCCGGUACCCCCUCCUCAGUAUACAGAGCAUCCUCAAAGUACCCCAAAUUAUGCAGAGGGUGCUUAUAGGAAUGUGUGUAGAACCCACCUUUUUUUGGACUCUGCCACACCUAGUACACCAGAACACAAUAGCCUAAAUCAGAAUCCUGAUUUUUCUGUUUAUAGGCAUUUGUAAAAAGUGCUGUCUGUAUUACAUGUUAUUAUGACAAAGUUUUAGUUAUGUUUUUAUUACAAGUGUGGCCUUAGUUUUAGGCACGUUAUAUAAUGUGUAGGUUCAAAAAUGAUGCCUGAACUGAAGUCAAGGCAAAGUUUAUUUGGGGGUUCACUGGGAGUUUUUAUAUGCUCAUAUGCACAUAAUAAGAGCUGCACCUUACAUGAUUACACAUAUGAAAAAAAAUUGUCGUUACACUGGAAUAAACAAAACCUAAUAUUUUAUUGAAAAACUCCUACUGUAUGUGUCCUUUUUUUCACGAGUCAA